GAUGAACGCUGGCGGCGUGCCUAAUACAUGCAAGUCGAGCGAACGGACGAGAAGCUUGCUUCUCUGAUGUUAGCGGCGGACGGGUGAGUAACACGUGGAUAACCUACCUAUAAGACUGGGAUAACUUCGGGAAACCGGAGCUAAUACCGGAUGAUAUUUUGAACCGCAUGGUUCAAAAGUGAAAGACGGUCUUGCUGUCACUUAUAGAUGGAUCCGCGCUGCAUUAGCUAGUUGGUAAGGUACGGCUUACCAAGGCAACGAUGCAUAGCCGACCUGAGAGGGUGAUCGGCCACACUGGAACUGAGACACGGUCCAGACUCCUACGGGAGGCAGCAGUAGGGAAUCUUCCGCAAUGGGCGAAAGCCUGACGGAGCAACGCCGCGUGAGUGAUGAAGGUCUUCGGAUCGUAAAACUCUGUUAUUAGGGAAGAACAUAUGUGUAAGUAACUGUGCACAUCUUGACGGUACCUAAUCAGAAAGCCACGGCUAACUACGUG
rnacentral:rRNA from 1 species